CUACUAUUAACUCUUGUGUUAGGAUUCCUGUGUUAUCCAUAACCUCCACAAAACAUGGGUAAAUUACCAAAUCUCCUUACACUUACCUAAUUUCCUUAAAUAUUAGGGUACUCUUUCAACAAUCACCUGUGCAACAUCCCUGUAAGUAGAGUGCACCACAGUAGUGAAGUAGUUCUACGUGUUAAGUAGUAGUGAAGUAGUUUAAAUAGUAAGCAUUUAAGUUAAAAAUAAAUCAAAAUUAAUAUAAG